ACGGAAGGCAGCAGUGGGGAAUAUUGGGCAAUGGGCGAAAGCCUGACCCAGCAACGCCGCGUGAAGGAAGAAGGCCUUCGGGUUGUAAACUUCUUUUGUCAGGGACGAAGGACGUGACGGUACCUGACGAAUAAGCAACGGCUAACUACGUGCCAGCAGCCGCGGUAAUACGUAGGUUGCAAGCGUUGUCCGGAUUUACUGGGUGUAAAGGGAGUGUAGGCGGGACUGUAAGUCAGAUGUGAAAUAUGCCGGCUCAACUGGCAGACUGCAUUUGAAACUGCGGUUCUUGAGUGAAGUAGAGGUAAGCGGAAUUCCUAGUGUAGCGGUGAAAUGCGUAGAUAUUAGGAGGAACAUCAGUGGCGAAGGCGGCUUACUGGGCUUUAACUGACGCUGAGGCUCGAAAGCGUGGGGAGCAAACAGGAUUAGAUACCCUGGUA
rnacentral:rRNA from 1 species